AUGUGUGUGGGAAGGGAAAGCUUUAAAAAUGACAUGCUGGGGGUGCUCCCAAUCAUUGUCCCAACCACAAGUUUGUUUAUGCAUGUCUUCAUCAUGCGAAGGGACGCAGGCCUGCCUCGGUGUGCUGAUGGGUGUGGUGGCAGCCUUCGAGCAGCUCAGGUGUUACUCUGCCUCUUUAAAUCAAACCAAGGGGAGAAAUGUUACGAGCCAAGGAGCGGCACUGGGAAAAACAAGCCAAGGCCAGGGACAAAAAUAACCCACAGAAAAGAUGCUUGCCUGCAGCAAACAGGAUGCCACGGAGGAGCUUCUCCCAGCUGGCUGUUGCCCUUUCAGCUUGGGCCUCAGAGUGAGCACGUAUGGAGCAGACCUGAGUCCAAUCUGCAGCAAGGAGACAAGCCCAGCUGGACUGCAAUAUGAUGCAAAGCUGCCCAG
rnacentral:lncRNA from 1 species